UUAUACCUAUUUCAUAUCUAUUUCUAUUCGUAUGAAAAUGAUGAUUGAUUUGAUGUCAAAAAUACAAAAUAUAAGUAUAAAACGAUGUAUCAAAAUUGUUAGGAGUAUUGAAAUGAAAAUGCAUUGGAAAGGGUCAUUUUGAAAAAGAUAAGAGAGAGAGAGAGAGAGUAAUAGGAUGCGCGCACGCAUUUAAGUAAACAAUGAAGCGCGCCUCCGUAACGAACGAUAUGGCAACUGCGCAGAAGGAUGAUCCAUGUGACGGAGAAAGAACGUGACAAAAGGUAGCAGAGAGUGAGGCUGCCAACAUCAGAGCAAGUAUUUGCCCGGGCGAGCCGGGUGUCGGGUGUGCUCUGCGUAUACAGAACAUUAGUCUUCUUUCUUUCUCUGUCUGUCUGUCUCUCUCUCUCUCUCUCCUCUCUCUCUCUCUCUCUUUCUCUUUCUGUCUAUCCGCGGAUCGUUUUCCCCCACUUCUUGUGUUCUAUCCGUCUUUGUGCUUUACCCCCUCUCUAAUGACAAUUCAUUCUAUCUCUUUCUCACGUGCGCGAUACUCAGCUCCGUUUUGGCGUCGACGCGAAAGGUAAGAGCCUAGUACGAAAGCUUCUCCUCUUUCUUCUAACACCCGGCAAUUAAACGGACAAUCAUAAGACAUUAGGAAAACUUUAGUGUUAAUAUUACAAUUUGUGAUAAUACGAAUAUUCGCGGACAAAAAUAAAAUAAAAUAUAUUUCGAGUUUGUCGAUAAUAAUGUUGAAAAAAGUGCAAUGGUUAGUAACGGGCGAAGAGAUAUGCAGGGAGCUCGACACUACUCUCACACGCCCAGCCGAAUUGCUGCGUCACAUGGGCCGCGUUCAUUGGUCGAUAGAGCAGGAUGACGUCAUGAAACGCACUACCAUUGGCCCGUAAGUCGGAGCCCAGACACGUGAAUCGUGGCCAAGCAAGCAUGGCUGUUGAUGCGCAGUGGUUAACACUUGUAAAAUGUUUCUGCCACGCGCCAGAUCGAUCAGGUUAUAACCAUCGUGUGUGCUCUGAAACGUCUAGGGACGACCGGUGGCUCAGUUAACGUGAACGUGAAACUUAGUCCUCCCUCGUGUUCGAUCUUCCUUCUGUUUCUACGAUUGACUACUCGCGGUGGAUAGCAGUAACAACAGACACCACGAAGAAUUUCUACAGGUAGCAGAAUUACUACAAAAACAUCAAGAAUAAUAAUAAUA